rnacentral:lncRNA from 1 species
CCGUGGCUGCCCUCAGACGCAGAGAGGCACGUCCGUGCUGCUGUGCUUGCCAGCAGUCUGUAUGGCGCAGCAAGGCGACAGCUGCAUCGGCGCCCGAGGACUCUGGUGCUUUCGGUCACGCGGUAGAAGAAGAAGCCAAGGAGGGAAAGAGAGCAGUGGUGGGCCCCGCGUGUCAGCGACUCAUGCUCUGACCGGGCCGACCCAUUGACCAGGAGUAAGUUGAAAUGUAUUUGCUGAAAUACGUUUUAUUGGUGGGAAAGCGUAUUUUCCUUCUGCUUUGGGCUAAAGUGUGUUUUCUAUUUCAAGAAGGUGUAUUCUCCCGAAGGCGCUUUCUCCCUAAACCACCAAGGACUUAUUCAUGAGUAUAUUUUUGCAUAUUAGUCCAUGGAUUUCAAUCGUUCGUAUCUCCGUGACCGUAGCUCCGAUUCAGGUGAUUCCAAGGCCCGCGUUUUCAUCUCGUCCAGACCAUUCUGUUGGUAUCAUUUUCAUGAUGUUGUCACACUGUGAAAAUGAUCAAAUUGCCCUUGCCCCUAAUCAGGCCCCUCUUAGAGAGAAGUGUUUCCGACGAAUCUUUCCACGAGCUUCUCGCUCUUCCUCCUGGUGAAUCCUUCAUCCCCAGGCAAGCCAGGACAACCACUUGCAUGAUGGACAUGCAGUGGCCAUGGUUUCCACUUGAAUGAUUAAUAAUUGUUUGCUCGAUUACUACUAUUAUUUAUGUUUCGGGAUGCUUGUGGAUCCAUGUUCAUCUUCAUGCUUUGUGCUUGUGCACCCUGUUAGUUAGGUGAUUACUUUAUAGUAUUAUUCAUAUGCCAUGCUUGUUAUUAGUACAUGCUGGUGAUAGUAGUGUUCAUCUGAUGCAUGAUUACUGUCAGUUAUGAAAAGUACCUGUGAUAUGCUAUGCCAUGUUCAUCUGCAUGGAGUAGACUAAGUGCUUUUAUUAUUGUUGAUGCUAAUGCUUCACAUGCUAAAUGGUUAUACUUCCCAUACAUGUUCAUGCUGAUAUGCAUUGUAACUUCAUCUUGUUAUUCUUAUUUGACUCGGUUCAGUAAUUGUCAAGUUUAACCGGAUAAUAAUUAAACUCGAAUACCUGUUGGUUGAGUCAUAGUGUCAUCGAGUCGAGCUGACCAGUGCAACCACACUUGCCUGUAUGGGAAGGCCUUAAUGCGGUCUACUGCCAUGCCUCUCACCGAUGCCUCCAACUAGGGAAGGUUAUGUGCUCUCGCUACCCUUAUCAGGCAAGCGGCCAUAAGCCUUGUGUACCCAAGUUGUGUUGUACCCGGGUUGUCCCCUUUUGGGGUUGUGUUUAUUUUGCCACGACGGUGGUCGUUGGAGGUCGAGAGUGGCAUCAGGGCCACCCAUGACUUAGCCCAAAGGGGAGUUUGUCAGAAUGGCCGGGAGAGUGUCAUGCAAUAGAUUGGUUUUGUCGGAACGUUGUUGGUCCACCCGAAUGGGAGCAUGAGGCCUUGGAUUCCGUAGUGUGGGUAUAGUGUACUAACUUCUAUAGAGUGUGUACAAUCUAUCAAUAGCUAUACCCGCGGAUAUGGGCCCAGUUCGUAGUAGGUCACACCAUGAGUCAACAACAAUAAUAACCUACCUAAUAAACAAUCCUAGUUCGACGAGGAAAGAAGUUGGUUGAUCUUUAUGUAAUCAUGAGAGUAUCACUUUGGUAUCAUGGAUACCGAAGUUGGUUGAGGUUUAUGACAUCAUGUGAUUAUUUUGUGUAAAGAUCAAGCUCCUUGUGGUUAUGUGAUAAUCCCUAUGGCAUUGUGAAUACCAACCUUGAUUUGAUCCUAAGUUUAUCUUGUGAUGUCUGAUACGUCUCCAACGUAUCUAUAAUUUUUGAUUGUUCCAUGCUAUUAUAUCAUCAACUUGGGAUGUCUUAUAUGCAUUUAUAUGCUAUUUUAUAUCAUUUUUGGGACUAACCUAUUAACUCAGUGCCCAGUGACAGUUUCUGUUUUUUCGUGUUUUUGACCUUUUUCAGAUAAGAAUAUUAAACGAAGUCCAAACGGAAUAAAACCCACGAGAUGAUUUUUUCCAUAACAGAAGAUACCCAGAAGACUUGAGAACCAAGGCAGGGGGUCUCGUGGGAGGUCAUGAGCCCCCUAGGCGUGCCCGAGGGGCGGCGCCUAGCAGGCUCGUGGGCCCCCUUGCCUCCUUUGCCCUACCUCUUUCGCCUAUAAAUUCUCUAAAAUCGCGAAACCAACACAGAGAGCCACGAAAAUACGUUUCCGCCGCCGCAAGCUUCUAUUUCCGCGAGAUCCCAUCUGGGGACCGUUCUGGUGCCCUGCCGGAGAGGGCUUCGGACACUGAGGGCUUCUUCAUCAACACCAUUGCCUCUCCGAUGAUGCGUGAGUAGUUCACCACAGACCUUUGGGUCCAUAGCUAGUAGCUAGAUGGCUUCUUCUCUCUCUUGGAUCUUCAAUACAAAGUUCUCCAUGAUCUUCAUGGAGAUCUAUCCGAUG